rnacentral:rRNA from 2 species
GUUGUAAUCUGGAGAAGCAUUUUCCGCGUCGGACCGUGUACAAGUUUCUUGGAAUAGAACGUCAUAGAGGGUGAGAAUCCCGUCCAUGACACGGACUACCGAUGCUUUGUGAUAUGCUCUCGAAGAGUCGAGUUGUUUGGGAAUGCAGCUCAAAAUGGGUGGUAAAUUCCAUCUAAAGCUAAAUAUUGGCGAGAGACCGAUAGCGAACAAGUACCGUGAGGGAAAGAUGAAAAGCACUUUGGAAAGAGAGUUAAACAGUACGUGAAAUUGUUGAAAGGGAAACGCUUGAAGUCAGUCGCGUUGGCAGAGACUCAGCCUUGCUUUGCAUGGUGUACUUCUCAGUUAACGGGUCAACAUCAAUUUCAGUUGGUGGAUAAAGGCAUUGGGAAUGUGGCACCUUCGGGUGUGUUAUAGACCUUUGUUGCAUACACUGACCGGGAUUGAGGAACGCAGCACGCCACUAAGGCCAGGGAUUCGUCCCAUGUAACGUGCUUAGGAUGUUGGCAUAAUGGCUUUAAGCGACCCGUCUUGAAACACGGACCAAGGAGUCUAACAUGCCUGCGAGUAUUAGGGUGGAAAACCCUUGUGCGUAAUUAACGUGAAAGUUGGGACCUCUUGCGAGGGCACCGACGCCCGGCCCUGAAGUUUACUGACGGCGCUGCGGUAGAGCAUGUAUGUUGGGACCCGAAAGAUGGUGAACUAUGCCUGAAUAGGGUGAAGCCAGGGGAAACUCUGGUGGAGGCUCGUAGCGAUUCUGACGUGCAAAUCGAUC